rnacentral:lncRNA from 1 species
CUUUAUGUGUGUAACGGACUGAAAGACAAAUUAAUCUUGGUGAAAGGAUUUUUCAUCUCUUAUUUCUAUUUGCCAGUGUUAGUCAGUGUUCUGCUGGCUUAGAUUAUUACCUUUUUCUGGUUCCUUACUGUGUUUUAUUCUGAUGGGUCCUAGAAAUCCCUCUCCUGACCACUUGUCAGAAUCAGAAAGUGAGGAAGAAGAAAAUAUUAGUUACCUAAAUGAGAGUUCUGGGGAAGAGUGGGAUUCCUCUGAAGAAGAGGACUCUAUGGUGCCCAACUUAUCGCCUCUUGAGAGUCUUGCCUGGCAGGUUAAGUGCCUUUUAAAAUAUUCCACAACUUGGAAACCUUUAAAUCCUAAUUCCUGGUUGUAUCAUGCUAAACUGUUGGAUCCAAGCACACCAGUCCAUAUACUUCGAGAGAUAGGUCUAAGACUCUCCCAUUGUUCCCAUUGUGUCCCCAAACUGGAACCAAUUCCUGAAUGGCCCCCUCUGGCCUCUUGUGGAGUCCCACCUUUUCAAAAGCCUCUUACAAGUCCCAGCCGGCUCUCUAGAGAUCAUGCCACUCUAAAUGGAGCACUGCAAUUUGCCACCAAACAGCUAAGCCGAACAUUGAGUAGAGCCACUCCCAUACCUGAAUACCUAAAACAGAUCCCUAAUUCAUGUGUUUCUGGGUGUUGCUGUGGCUGGCUGACUAAAACAGUUAAGGAAACAACUCGUACUGAACCCAUCAACACUACUUAUUCUUACACUGACUUCCAAAAGGCAGUUAACAAACUCCUAACUGCAUCACUGUAAAGAUCUACCAUUUGCUCUGAUAUCUCUGAUGUUGCUAAUUGAGAAAGUGGUACAAAUGCUGGGAUUGAACCCUUCUAAUUUUAAAGAACCUUGUUAUUAGAAAAUCUCAGCCUAAUACAAUCUGAAGUUAAGAGUUUUAGCAGCAUUGUUUUUCUAAGUAGAUUUAGCUAUAGAUUUUCUUCUGGCCAAACAAGGAAGAGUAUAUGCCCUUGUAAAUGAGUCUUGUUUUGUUUAUUUAAAUAGUCAGUCAAAACGUAGAAAUCAGUAUACGUAAAAUAAAAUGCAUGAGACUAUUAAAUCUUUUCAUAUACUCUACAAAUAAAAUGAAAUCUGUGUGUGGUCCUGGUUGACUGGGCAUCUAAAGGGAAUCAGAAAAGAGAUUGUGAAAAGUUAUAUAUAUAUCCUCUUCCUUAUUUUAGUUUUGCUUUUUCCUAUUUUCCAUAAUUAAGUGCCGUUUACAAAGUGGCAUCAAAAAAUUGAAGCAGGCCAGGCAUGGUGGCUCAUGCCUGUAAUCCCAACAGUUUGGGAGGCUGAGGGCAGGUGGAUCACUUGAGAUCAGGAGUUCGUGACCAGCCUGGCCAACAUGGUGAAAGCCCAUCUCUACUAAAAAUAUAAAAAUUAGCCGGGCGUGGUGGCAUGUGCCUGUAAUCGCAGCUACUUGGGAGGCUAAGACAGGAGAAUUGCUUGAACCUGGGAGGUGGAGGUUGCAAUGAGCUGAGAUCGCGCCACUGCACUCCAGCCUGGGCAACAGUGAGACACCGUCUC